AUGUGGACCGAUGAUCUUAAAAUCUAUGUUCAUAGUGCUGCUUUCCACUAUAUAUUAGCUAAAGUAGUUCAGGUAGAUUCAGGGGUAAACUUUUGUUUCAUUUGCAUAUAUGGUGAUCCGUAUCAUAGGCAGACUAGUGUCAUCUGGGACCAAGUUUCUUCUUUUGUGUAUGAUAAUCUAGGCAUGCCCAUGAUGUGUAUGGGGGACUUGAAUGACAUCUUGUAUGAUAUUGAUGGUUGUAAUGGCAAUGUGAAUUACUAUCGUAUGCAUGCUUUUCGUUCUCUUGUGAAAAAUUGUGGCUUGUUUGAUAUAGGUUAUAGUGGUCCUGCCUAUACUUGGCGUGGUAGACAACACACUUCCAAUCCUAUUUAUAGACGCCUCGAUCGUUGUUUAGUUAACUCGGAUUGGUGCACGCACUAUCCUACUACCAAAGUUCUUAAUUUGCCUAUUAUCCUGAGUGAUCAUGCCCCCACUCUAGUGUCUACUGAAGGUAAUUUUGUCAAGCCUCGACAAACUUUCAAAUUUGAAAAUUGGUGGUUAAUGGAAAAAGAUUUUCAUGCAUUUGCUAAAUCUGCCUAG
rnacentral:rRNA from 1 species